CCUACGGGUGGCUGCAGUGAGGAAUAUUGGUCAAUGGACGAGAGUCUGAACCAGCCAAGUAGCGUGAAGGAUGACUGCCCUAUGGGUUGUAAACUUCUUUUAUAUGGGAAUAAAAUGUUCCACGUGUGGGAUUUUGUAUGUACCAUAUGAAUAAGGAUCGGCUAACUCCGUGCCAGCAGCCGCGGUAAUACGGAGGAUCCGAGCGUUAUCCGGAUUUAUUGGGUUUAAAGGGAGCGUAGGUGGAUUGUUAAGUCAGUUGUGAAAGUUUGCGGCUCAACCCCGCCGAGCCGUCGGAACCGGGGGCCUUGAGUACCGGAGAAGUACGCGGAAUGCGUGGUGUAGCGGUGAAAUGCAUAGAUAUCACGCAGAACCCCGAUUGCGAAGGCAGCGUACCGGCCGGUCACUGACGCUGAGGCACGAAAGCGCGGGUAUCGAACAGGAUUAGAUACCCCAGUAGUC
rnacentral:rRNA from 1 species